rnacentral:rRNA from 1 species
UACGGGGGGGGCAAGCGUUGUUCGGAAUUACUGGGCGUAAAGGGCUCGUAGGCGGCCAACUAAGUCGGAUGUGAAAUCCCCAGGCUCAACCUGGGAACUGCAUUUGUGACUGCACGGCUGGAGUGCGGCAGAGGGGGAUGGAAUUCCGCGUGUAGCAGUGAAAUGCGUAGAUAUGCGGAGGAACACCGAUGGCGAAGGCAAUCCCCUGGGCCUGCACUGACGCUCAUGCACGAAAGCGUGGGGAGCAAACAGG